AUUUAUUGUACCAUGUACCAAUGUAUAUUUAUUGUGCUAGGUGCUGGGAAUAAAACAAGGUAAAGAAUAUUCCAUCCAUUAAGAAGCUGAUUAUCUAUAAACAGAGACAAACAAGUGAGCAAGAAUGAAUUGCUGGGAAAACAUGUAUGAGAAAGAACCUAACUUGGAAUGUGUUUUCUAAGCAAUUCCUCAGCUUUUGGCAGCAGGAAGACAACUGGAAGAAGAUGAAAAAAAAUUAAUAAACAGGCGACAAAGGAAGAAAGGAAGUGGAGGUUUCACUGUGCACCCUUUGGUUUCGCUGCAUUUCAUAUGAUGUGCAUGUAUUAUGUAUAUUAAAAAGUCAACUUUUAAAAAGAAUAAUUGCUUUAUUUUAAAGGAAUACAUCUACUAAGCAUCAACGAAUGAAUAAAAUUACCACUGUGCUAGUAACCUAAGUGACUGUGAAGGGUGGCAAAAAAGAACUGGGGACACAGGUUCUGUUUGGGUGAUGUGAACACAUGUUACAUGGAAAGCAAUAGCAUCAAGAAGGUUUUGAACUAACACCCUGCCCUCGGGCUAGUCCAGGGAAAGGACCACCAGCGGUGUGGCACCGGGAAGGUCAGAGAGUGGAGAGGCAGAGAUGAAGUAUCUGUCAUCAAAUCUCCAGGGCGGUCAAGGAAGAGGCUGCACGAACAGCCCAUCACGAUCGCUGGGUGUGUCUCACGGGAUUUUGGAGGGUACUCAGUAGACAACACUGAAUUUAAGUAAUUCUAUUUGAAAUGGAUAAAUUAACCUAACACAAUGCAAUAACACUAUUAAGAAUAUCCCUGGCUCAAGAAUUCCCUGGUGGUCCAGUGGUUAGGACUCUAUGCUUCUACUUCAGAGGGCCCUGGCUUCCAUUGCUGGUUCGCGGAACUAAAACCCUACAGGUCCUGCUGCCUGGCCAAAGAACAAAAAUUUCACAGUCACUAAAUAAGCCUUUGAUUAUAAUCUGGUUUCCCAGGGGUGUAAUCUAUGAAAGCAGAGUUGGCUGGCUGAGUGAAAAG
rnacentral:lncRNA from 1 species